CCUACGGGGGGCAGCAGUGGGGAAUAUUGGACAAUGGGGGAAACCCUGAUCCAGCGACGCCGCGUGAGUGAAGAAGUAUUUCGGUACGUAAAGCUCUAUCAGCAGGAAAGAAAAUGACGGUACCUGACUAAGAAGCCCCGGCUAACUACGUGCCAGCAGCCGCGGUAAUACGUAGGGGGCAAGCGUUAUCCGGAUUUACUGGGUGUAAAGGGAGCGUAGACGGCAGCGCAAGUCUGGAGUGAAAUGGCGGGGCCCAACCCCGGAACUGCUCUGGAAACUGUGGAGCUGGGGUGCAGGGGAGGUAAGCGGAAUUCCUGGUGUAGCGGUGAAAGGCGUAGAUAGCAGGAGGAACACCGGCGGCGAAGGCGGCUUACUGGACUGUAACUGACGUUGAGGCUCGAAGGCGUGGGGAGCAAACAGGAUUAGAUACCCCGGUAGUC
rnacentral:rRNA from 1 species